UUCGGAACAACACAGGGAAACUUGUGCUAAUACCGGAUAAGCCCUUACGGGGAAAGAUUUAUCGCCGAAAGAUCGGCCCGCGUCUGAUUAGCUAGUUGGUGAGGUAAUGGCUCACCAAGGCGACGAUCAGUAGCUGGUCUGAGAGGAUGAUCAGCCACAUUGGGACUGAGACACGGCCCAAACUCCUACGGGAGGCAGCAGUGGGGAAUAUUGGACAAUGGGGGCAACCCUGAUCCAGCCAUGCCGCGUGAGUGAUGAAGGCCCUAGGGUUGUAAAGCUCUUUUGUGCGGGAAGAUAAUGACGGUACCGCAAGAAUAAGCCCCGGCUAACUUCGUGCCAGCAGCCGCGGUAAUACGAAGGGGGCUAGCGUUGCUCGGAAUCACUGGGCGUAAAGGGUGCGUAGGCGGGUCUUUAAGUCAGGGGUGAAAUCCUGGAGCUCAACUCCAGAACUGCCUUUGAUACUGAGGAUCUUGAGUUCGGGAGAGGUGAGUGGAACUGCGAGUGUAGAGGUGAAAUUCGUAGAUAUUCGCAAGAACACCAGUGGCGAAGGCGGCUCACUGGCCCGAUACUGACGCU
rnacentral:rRNA from 1 species